AGCAGCCGCGGUAAUUCCAGCUCCAAUAGCGUAUAUUAAAGUUGUUGCAGUUAAAAAGCUCGUAGUUGAAUUUUAGGCCUGGCCGGACGGUCCGUCUCUGGCGAGUACUGUUCUGUCGUCGGGUCUAUCCUUCUGGUGAGCCGGUGUGUUCUUAAUUGGGAGUGCCGGGGAACCAGGACCAUUACCUUGAAAAAUUAGAGUGUUUAAAGCAGGCUUUUGCUUAAAUAGAUUAGCAUGGAAUAAUAGAAUAGGACGUUGUGGUUCUAUUUUGUUGGUUUUAGGACCACCGUAAUGAUUAAUAGGGAUAGUUGGGGGCAUUAGUAUUCAAUUGUCAGAGGUGAAAUUCUUGGAUUUAUUGAAGACUAACUACUGCGAAAGCAUUUGCCAAGGAUGUUUUCAUUAAUCAAGAACGAAAGUUAGGGGAUCGAAGACGA
rnacentral:rRNA from 1 species